ACGGGGGGUGCAAGCGUUGUUCGGAAUUAUUGGGCGUAAAGCGCGUGUAGGCGGUUUGUUAAGUCUGAUGUGAAAGCCCCGGGCUCAACCUGGGAAGUGCAUUGGAAACUGGCAGACUUGAAUACGGGAGAGGGUAGGGGAAUUCCUGGUGUAGGAGUGAAAUCCUGAGAUCUCAGGGGGAACACCGGUGGCGAAGGCGGCUCCCCGGACCGAUAUCGACGCUGAGACGCGAAAGCUUGGGUAGCAAACAG
rnacentral:rRNA from 1 species